CAGAUGGGUAUCGGUAUCAAUGAGAAUGAUAUAAAUAAUUUUCAACAUAUGGCUAUAAAAAAAGGUGAGAUCUGAUAAGUCUAGACCGCAGUCGGUGGCUGUGGAAUUCAGGCGAUGGAAUCGAGAUAUGGAGUUUGCGAACAAACAAAAAUUGAAGUGCAAUUUAUAUAUUAUAUAUAUCGCGGUAUGGAAACUGAAGGUACCGAAAGAAAUAACCCAACCGCAGGGCUUGAUAUGGAGAGCCAUCCCAGACCCUCAGAACUUUAAAAACUCAGACCAUAAAGGACCUAGCAUACCUAGUGAGACAACUAAGUUAUUUGUUGGUCCGAGCUGAGCGACAUGGUUUAUCGACAUGGAAACUAAAGGAACCAUAGAAAAUAACUCAGCAGGAGUUGAAAUGAAGAAUGAAGCAGAACCUUCCACAGUUAAGGUGGAACGGCCUGGAGGAAGCCAGCCACCUUCCACAAGCCAAUCGACCCCUUCACCAGGACCUAGCACUAGUGUGCUAAUAAUCAAUGGGAUAGACUGUGAAACCUCCGAGGAAUCGCUGCUGAAACAUUUCCAGCAAUUUGGAAGAGUCACAGAUCUCACCAUUUUAAAAGAUCCAGCAACGCAGCGACAUGGACCCCAUAGAAAAAAACACGCCUGGAGGAAGCCAGCCACCUUCCACAGGUGAGGUGGCAGGCCUGCCAGGGAAAUCGAUGUGGAGCUGACACCUAAUCAUCCAAAUUUAACGGAAAAACAAAAGAAAAAAGUCUUUGUCGGCGGAGUAGGUCAAAAUACAACAGAAGCAGACUUAAAGAACUAUUUCACUAGAUUUGGAAACAUUCAAGAGUGUUCAUUGAUGAUGGACACCAAAACAAACAGGCAUAGAGGUUUCGGAUUUAUCAUCUUCGAUAGAGAAGAAUUUGCAAAUAUCGUCAUUGAAAUUCAUUACCACAUGAUAAAUAGGAAACAGGUUGAAUGCUUAAGGGCAAAGCCUAAAGAUGACAGAAACACAAAAAAUGAGCAUUAUAAGAGACGAGAUCCAGGAUUGAAAAUGCGAGCCGGAACUAGUGCUUGGCUAUAUCCAUAUCCCUUUGAUGCAGCUCAAGCGCGAUCGCCUGCUAUGGCUGGUUAUGGGCAAAUGUGGCCUGUUCCACCAUUACCACCGAGCUAUGGUUUUCCCCUGUAUGCAAUUCCAACAAUGGCAGCUAGUGCUCGUUUACCUCCUCCACUUAUAUUAGCCAGCUAUAGACAAGCUCCUUACCGAAUACCUAUAAUGCAAUCUAGUGUUCGUGCUCUUCCAAUUCCUGCACACUCUACCUGCACUCAAACUGAACGUCCACUACCAUUUUCGGGCUAUAGGUAUCCUCACCAUAUACCUACAAUGACAUCUCGUAUACAACUACCUUAUCCACCCCCUGUAUAUUCAACAUAUAAUGAUGCUCCACCUCUACUAUUGAGGUAUCCUCACCAAAUACCUACAAUGGUAUCUAGUGCACAACCACCUAUACCUUCCCCUGCACCCUCUGCAUCAAGCACUCAAGCUGCACCUGCACCACCUCUUCCACAAGGUCCUUACCCUGGAGGCAACAACCUUGGAGAACAACAAAACAUUGAGUAGCCUCUAUUUAACCAAGCGACAUGGACCCCAUAGAAAAUAACACGCCUGGAGGAAGCCAGCCACCUUCCACAGGUGAGGUGGAAAGGCCUGCCAGGGAAAUCGAUGUGGAGCUGACACCUAAUCAUCCAAAUUCAACGGAAAAACCAGAGGAAAAAGUCUUUGUCGGCGGAGUAGGUCAAAAUACAACAGAAGCAGACUCAAAGAACUCUUUCACUAGAUUUGGAAACAUUCAAGAGUGUUCAUUGAUGAUGGACACCAAAACAAACAGGCAUAGAGGUUUCGGAUUUAUCAUCUUCGAUAGAGAAGAAUUUGCGAAUAUCGUCAUUGAAAUUCAUUACCACAUGAUAAAUAGGAAACAGGUUGAAUGCUUAAGGGCAAAGCCUAAAGAUGACAGAAACACAAAAAAUGAGCAUUAAGCACUCAAGCUGCACCUGCACCACCUCUUCCACAAGGUCUUUACCCUGGGGGCAACAACCCUGGAGGCAACAACCUUGGAGAACAACAAAACAUUGAGUGACCCUUUAUAUCAUAUAUUUUAUGAAAUUUAUUCAAUAUGAACUGCCAAAACAUUGCUCAAAUUGAAAUGUUUUUUAUUAAAGCGACAUGGACCCCAUAGAAAAUAACACGCCUGGAGGAAGCCAGCCACCUUCCACAGGUGAGGAGGAAAGGCCUGCCAGGGAAAUCGAUGUGGAGCUGACACCUUAUCAUCCAAAUUUAACGGAAAAACAAGAGAAAAUAGUCUUUGUCGGCGGAGUAGGUCAAAAUACAACAGAAGCAGACUCAAAGAACUAUUUCACUAGAUUUGGAAACAUUCAAGAGUGUUCAUUGAUGAUGGACACCAAAACAAACAGGCAUAGAGGUUUCGGAUUUAUCAUCUUCGAUAGAGAAGAAUUUGCGAAUAUCGUCAUUGAAAUUCAUUACCACAUGAUAAAUAGGAAAUAGGUUGAAUGCUUAAGGGCAAAGCCUAAAGAUGACAGAAACACAAAAAAUGAGCAUUAAGCACUCAAGCUGCACCUGCACCUCCUCUUCCACAAGGUCUUUACCCUGGGGGCAACAACCCUGGAGGCAACAACCUUGGAGAACAACAAAACAUUGAGUGGCCUCUAUUUAACCAAGCGACAUGGACCCCAUAGAAAAUAACACGCCUGGAGGAAGCCAGCCACCUUCCACAGGUGAGGAGGAAAGGCCUGCCAGGGAAAUCGAUGUGGAGCUGACACCUAAUCAUCCAAAUUUAACGGAAAAACAAGAGAAAAAAGUCUUUGUCGGCGGAGUAGGUCAAAAUACAACAGAAGCAGACUCAAAGAACUAUUUCACUAGAUUUGGAAACAUUCAAGAGUGUUCAUUGAUGAUGGACACCAAAACAAACAGGCAUAGAGGUUUCGGAUUUAUCAUCUUCGAUAGAGAAGAAUUUGCGAAUAUCGUCAUUGAAAUUCAUUACCACAUGAUAAAUAGGAAACAGGUUGAAUGCUUAAGGGCAAAGCCUAAAGAUGACAGAAACACAAAAAAUGAGCAUUAAGCACUCAAGCUGCACCUGCACCACCUCUUCCACAAGGUCCUUACCCUGGAGGCAACAACCCUGGAGGGAACAACCUUGGAGAACAACAAAACAUUGAGUGGCCUCUAUUUAACCAAGCGACAUGGACCCCAUAAAAAAUAACACGCCUUGAGGAAGCCAGCCACCUUCCACAGGUGAGGUGGAAAGGCCUGCCAGGGAAAUCGAUGUGGAGCUUACACCUAAUCAUCCAAAUUUAACGGAAAAACAAAAGAAAAAAGUCUUUGUCGGCGGAGUAGGUCAAAAUACAACAGAAGCAGACUCAAAGAACUAUUUCACUAGAUUUGGAAACAUUCAAGAGUGUUCAUUGAUGAUGGACACCAAAACAAACAGGCAUAGAGGUUUCGGAUUUAUCAUCUUCGAUAGGGAAGAAUUUGCAAAUAUCGUCAUUGAAAUUCAUUACCACAUGAUAAAUAGGAAAGAGGUUGAAUGCUUAAGGGCAAAGCCUAAAGAUGAAAGAAACACAAAAAAUGAGCAUUAAGCGCUCAAGCUGCACCUGCACCACCUCUUCCACAAGGUCCUUACCCUGGAGGCAACAACCCUGGAGAACAACAAAACAUUGAGUGGCCUCUAUUUGACCAAGGUACGGAUUGGUUUGACCCGUAUCUUGAGUCGACAAGAAGAAGAAGUUAAGUAUACCUUCCCCUGCACCCUCUGCAUCAAGCACUCAAGCUGCACCUGCACCACCUUUUCCACAAGGUCCUUACCCUGGAGGCAACAACCCUGGAGGGAACAACCUUGGAGAACAACAAAACAUUGAGUGGCCUCUAUUUAACCAAGCGACAUGGACCCCAUAGAAAAUAACACGCCUGGAGGAAGCCAGCCACCUUCCACAGGUGAGGUGGAAAGGCCUGCCAGGGAAAUCGAUGUGGAGCUGACACCUAAUCAUCGAAAUUUAACGGAAAAACAAAAGAAAAAAGUCUUUGUCGGCGGAGUAGGUCAAAAUACAACAGAAGCAGACUUAAAGAACUAUUUCACUCGAUUUGGAAACAUUCAAGAGUGUUCAUUGAUGA